CCUCGCAUGAGGACAAUUUGGCUGACCCUGAAAAGGCUUUGAGCAAGCGUGUGACACUUAAAGAAUUUAUGAGUGUGUUAACGCAUAAAGAAUCCAAUUACGCUGCAGACAUUAAGAAGAUCCUCAAGGAAUUAAUCGCCAAAGAAGUUCAACUUAAUUAUAGUGGCGUAGGCCGUGUUGUCAAAGGAAAAGGAAAAAAAAAUUUCAGUGCAACAGCGACUUUUGCGUGUAUGAGAGAUUUCAUUGAGACAAAAUAUAAAGACUCUAAUCAACCAUUGAAGAUUAUUACGAUUACAAGUGAUUGGCUAGCAGGUGCUGGCGACAGAGAUGGAGGAUGCAUACAGCGUAAAAAGGAAGUUGGUGCAGUUUAACUGAAAAAAGAGCUUAGAGGGAUCGAACCAAAACUCACCAGUCAGUGAAAACUUAAUUUUGCGAAUUUACUGUUUUUCGUGUUAAAAAAAAAGGAGUUAAUUUUUAACGUUAAUUUUUUUGUUCAAUAUUAUCAAGGGGUUUGUCCAGUUACGACA